rnacentral:rRNA from 1 species
UACAGAGGUCUCAACCGUUGUUCGGAUUCAUUGGGCGUAAAGGGUGCGUAGGCGGUCGUGCAAGUCGGAUGUGAAAUCUCAGGGCUCAACCCUGAAACUGCAUUCGAUACUGCGCGGCUAGAGUGCUGGAGGGGAGACUGGAAUUUACGGUGUAGCAGUGAAAUGCGUAGAUAUCGUAAGGAAGACCAGUGGCGAAGGCGAGUCUCUGGACAGCAACUGACGCUGAGGCACGAAGGCCGGGGGAGCAAACAGG